GAAAUGCGAUAAGUAGUGUGAAUUGCAGAAUUCAGUGAAUCAUCGAAUCUUUGAACGCACAUUGCGCCCUUUGGUAUUCCAAAGGGCAUGCCUGUUCGAGCGUCAUUUGUACCCUCAAGCUCUGCUUGGUGUUGGGCGUCUUUGUCUUCCCAGAAGACUCGCCUUAAAGUCAUUGGCAGCCGGCCUACUGGUUUCGGAGCGAAGCACAAGUCGCGCUCUCUUCCAGCCAAGGUCAGCGUCCACAAAGCCUUUUUUCAACUUUUGACCUCGGAUCAGGUAGGGAUACCCGCUGAACUUAAGC
rnacentral:misc_RNA from 1 species